GACAUAUGACAAGGAUGAAAUGUUCUCGAGUGAGAUAUAUCAUAUCUGGAAAUUAUGAUAUAUCUCACUUGAGAACAUUUCAUCCUUGUCAUAUGUCAACCUGCUAUU